AAAACCAACGCGGUUCGCCGCUCCUUGGUGAUUCAUAAUAACUUCUCGAAUCGCACGGCCCCGCGCCGGCGAUGGUUCAUUCAAAUUUCUUCCCUAUCAACUUUCGAUGCUACGGUAUUGUCCUAGCAUGGUUGCAACGGGUGACGGAGGGUUAGGGCUCGACCCCGGAGAAGGAGCCUGAGAAACGGCUACUACAUCCAAGGAAGGCAGCAGGCGCGCAAAUUACCCAAUCCCGACUCGGGGAGGUAGUGACGAUAAAUACCGAUACAGGGCUCUUUUGGGUCCUGUAAUUGGAAUGAGUACAAUUCAAAUCCCUUAACGAGGAACAAUUGGAGGGCAAGUCUGGUGCCAGCAGCCGCGGUAAUUCCAGCUCCAAUAGCGUAUAUUAAGUUGUUGCAGUUAAAAAGCUCGUAGUUGAACCUUGGGCCUGGCUGGCCGGUCCGCCUCACCGCGUGCACUGGUUCGGCCGGGCCUUUCCCUCUGGGGAGCCCUAUGCCCUUCACUGGGUGUAGUGGGGAACCAGGACUUUUAC
rnacentral:rRNA from 1 species